AGUGAACGCUGGCGGUAGGCCUAACACAUGCAAGUCGAACGGCAGCACAGUAAGAGCUUGCUCUUACGGGUGGCGAGUGGCGGACGGGUGAGGAAUACAUCGGAAUCUACUUUUUCGUGGGGGAUAACGUAGGGAAACUUACGCUAAUACCGCAUACGACCUACGGGUGAAAGCAGGGGAUCUUCGGACCUUGCGCGAUUGAAUGAGCCGAUGUCGGAUUAGCUAGUUGGCGGGGUAAAGGCCCACCAAGGCGACGAUCCGUAGCUGGUCUGAGAGGAUGAUCAGCCACACUGGAACUGAGACACGGUCCAGACUCCUACGGGAGGCAGCAGUGGGGAAUAUUGGACAAUGGGCGCAAGCCUGAUCCAGCCAUACCGCGUGGGUGAAGAAGGCCUUCGGGUUGUAAAGCCCUUUUGUCGGGAAAGAAAAGCAGCAUGUUAAUACCCCGCUGUUCUGACGGUACCCAAAGAAUAAGCACCGGCUAACUUCGUG
rnacentral:rRNA from 1 species